CAGAUUAGUACCUGCGGACAAAUAAAGUGCACGUGCGUGUCGACGCCACCAGCCGUUAGAAUGAGAUCGCGACCAGCAAUCGCCUCGGUGUUGACGCCAAUUACCAUGUUGGGGUCGACGCCGUCCAUGACGUCGGGGUUCCCCGCCUUGCCGAUCGCCGAGAUCCGGCCGUGCUUGAUACCAACGUCAGCCUUGUAGAUGCCCGAGUAGUCGACGAUGACGACGUUCGUAAUGACCGUGUCGAGGACGUCGGCGGCGCAGCGGCCCGUGGCCUGGCCCAUGCCUUCGCGCAG
rnacentral:sRNA from 1 species